UACGUAGGGGGCAAGCGUUGUCCGGAAUCAUUGGGCGUAAAGCGCGUGUAGGCGGCUCGAUAAGUCUGCUGUGAAAGUCCAGGGCUCAACCCUGGAAUGCCGGUGGAAACUGUCGAGCUAGAGUCCGGAAGAGGCGAGUGGAAUUCCUGGUGUAGCGGCGAAAUGCGCAGAUAUCAGGAGGAACACCAAUGGCGAAGGCAGCUCGCUGGGACGGUACUGACGCUGAGACGCGAAAGCGUGGGGAGCAAACAGG
rnacentral:rRNA from 1 species